rnacentral:lncRNA from 1 species
GGGAAUGUUAAUAUCUCGGGACUAAAGGGAGUGUUGGGACUGAAUCUUGUCGUCCCUUUGUUGCCCUGAAGUAGGCCCGCCGUAAUUCCUUCUUGAAUAAUCCUAGCGAGUUCCCCGGACUCCAUGGUCACUGAUCUCGAGGCCGAGGUCACAUGUGGUAUACCCGAGGCCCCUGCUCCACCAUUGUCAGGGACAUGUUUUUGAGCUCG